ensembl:rRNA 5S_rRNA 5S ribosomal RNA
GUCUAUGGCCACUCUGAAUACUCUAAUCUCAUCUGAUCUUGGGAACUAAGCAGGGUCAGGCCUGGUUAGUACUUAGAUGGGAGUCAACCUGGGAAUGCCAGAUGCUGUGGCUA